rnacentral:piRNA from 1 species
UAGGCUUUACUGAGUGUCUUCUAGAAGCA